rnacentral:lncRNA from 1 species
UUCAGACAGAAGGCCCAGAAAUCCUGGACUAUGAACUGGACAUAUUUAUUUGGUAAUUCCAAAAUAAAAUUCCUCCAUGAUUCUAAAGAAGUCUGAAAACAUUUUCUUCAAGUUGUCCUAUCAAUAGGAG